GAUGAACGCUGGCGGCGUGCCUAAUACAAGCAAGUCGAGCGAAUGGAUUAAGAGCUUGCUCUUAUGAAGUUAGCGGCGGACGGGUGAGUAACACGUGGGUAACCUGCCCAUAAGACUGGGAUAACUCCGGGAAACCGGGGCUAAUACCGGAUAACAUUUUGAACCGCAUGGUUCGAAAUUGAAAGGCGGCUUCGGCUUUCACUUAUGGAUGGACCCGCGUCGCAUUGGCUAGUUGGUGAGGUAACGGCUCACCAAGGCAACGAUGCGUAGCCCACCUGAGAGGGUGAUCGGCCACACUGGGACUGAGACACGGCCCAGACUCCUACGGGAGGCAGCAGUAGGGAAUCUUCCGCAAUGGACGAAAGUCUGACGGAGCAACGCCGCGUGAGUGAUGAAGGCUUUCGGGUCGUAAAACUCUGUUGUUAGGGAAGAACAAGUGCUAGUUGAAUAAGCUGGCACCUUGACGGUACCUAACCAGAAAGCCACGGCUAACUACGUGCCAGCCGCCGCGGUAA
rnacentral:rRNA from 1 species